AGAGUUUGAUCAUGGCUCAGAUUGAACGCUGGCGGCAGGCCUAACACAUGCAAGUCGAGCGGAUGAGGGGUGCUUGCACCCCGAUUCAGCGGCGGACGGGUGAGUAAUGCCUAGGAAUCUGCCCGAUAGUGGGUAACAACGUUUCGAAAGGAACGCUAAUACCGCAUACGUCCUACGGGAGAAAGUGGGGGCUCUUCGGACCUCACGCUAUCGGAUGAGCCUAGGUCGGAUUAGCUAGUUGGUGGGGUAAAGGCCCACCAAGGCGACGAUCCGUAACUGGUCUGAGAGGAUGAUCAGUCACACUGGAACUGAGACACGGUCCAGACUCCUACGGGAGGCAGCAGUGGGGAAUAUUGGACAAUGGGCGAAAGCCUGAUCCAGCCAUGCCGCGUGUGUGAAGAAGGUCUUCGGAUUGUAAAGCACUUUAAGUCGGGAGGAAGGGCUGUAGGUUAAUACCCUGCGGUUUUGACGUUACCGACAGAAUAAGCACCGGCUAACUUCGUGCCAGCAGCCGCGGUAAUACGAAGGGUGCAAGCGUUAAUCGGAAUUACUGGGCGUAAAGCGCGCGUAGGUGGUUUGGUAAGUUGGAUGUGAAAGCCCCGGGCUCAACCUGGGAACUGCAUCCAAAACUGCCUGACUAGAGUACGGUAGAGGGUGGUGGAAUUUCCUGUGUAGCGGUGAAAUGCGUAGAUAUAGGAAGGAACACCAGUGGCGAAGGCGACCACCUGGACUGAUACUGACACUGAGGUGCGAAAGCGUGGGGAGCAAACAGGAUUAGAUACCCUGGUAGUCCACGCCGUAAACGAUGUCGACUAGCCGUUGGGCUCCUUGAGAGCUUAGUGGCGCAGCUAACGCAUUAAGUCGACCGCCUGGGGAGUACGGCCGCAAGGUUAAAACUCAAAUGAAUUGACGG
rnacentral:rRNA from 1 species